CUUAGCUCAGUUGGUUAGAGCAGUCGACUCAUAAUCGAUUGGUCGCCCGUUCUUAUGUAAACCA
rnacentral:tRNA from 1 species